rnacentral:rRNA from 1 species
ACACCGGCAGCUCAAGUGGUAGCCGCUUUUAUUGGGCCUAAAGCGUCCGUAGCCGGUCUGAUAAGUCUCUGGUGAAAUCCCGCAGCUUAACUGUGGGAAUUGCUGGAGAUACUAUCAUGACUCGAGGUCGGGAGAGGCUGGAGGUACUCCCAGGGUAGGGGUGAAAUCCUGUAAUCCUGGGAGGACCACCUGUGGCGAAGGCGUCCAGCUGGAACGAACCUGACGGUGAGGGACGAAAGCCAGGGGCGCGAACCGGAUUAGAUACCCGGGUAGUCCUGGCCGUAAACGAUGUGGACUUGGUGUUGGGAUGGCUUCGAGCUGCCCCAGUGCCGAAGGGAAGAUGUUAAGUCCACCGCCUGGGAAGUACGGCCGCAAGGCUGAAACUUAAAGGAAUUGGCGGGG